rnacentral:rRNA from 1 species
ACUCAAAGGAAUUGACGGGGACCCGCACAAGCAGCGGAGCAUGUGGUUUAAUUCGACGAUACGCGAAAAACCUUACCAAGGCUUGACAUCCUCCGACAGGUACAGAGAUGUACCCUUUCAGCAAUGAACGGAGAGACAGGUGGUGCAUGGUUGUCGUCAGCUCGUGUCGUGAGAUGUUCGGUUAAGUCCGGCAACGAGCGCAACCCUUAUGAUAUGUUGCCAAUAUUCAGUUAGGAACUCAUAUCAGACUGCCGCGGAUAACGCGGAGGAAGGCGGGGACGACGUCAAAUCAUCAUGCCCCUUACGUCUUGGGCCACACACGUGCUACAAUGGGCGCUACAAAGAGCAGCAAAACCGUAAGGCUUAGCGAAUCUCAAAAAAGCGUUCUCAGUUCAGAUCGAGGGCUGCAACCCGCCCUCGUGAAGCAGGAGUUGCUAGUAAUCCCGGAUCAGCAUGCCGGGGUGAAUGCGUUCCCGGGUCUUGUACACACCGCCCGU